ACUUGCGGCUGAGAACAGAGUCAAUGUUGGCUGAAUGGGCAUGGCGGCCUUCCUCAGGCUCACUCAGCCUUCUCCUUCAGGGUUCAGUGAAACACAGAUAAGACCUGGAGUUCUCUCCACCUUGGUGAAAAGUGUGACCCCAUCAGCUACCACAUAGGCAGACCGGGGGAGCCCUCCUGAAGCUAGUCCUAGUGUUGGGCCACUGCUCCCUAAUACAUCGACAUGCUAUCCUUUCCUUCCUCUUGGCUUCGUCACCUUUGAAUAAAUUAGCCAGUGUCGCUUUAAUCACAAGAGUGGGAGCGAUCCAGCCCGAGAGGGUCAUUACUCUGCAUUUUUCAUUUUUAGAGUUGUUCAGGCUCGAUUUGAGUGUCAAAAUCAAAUUACUGCUACCCUGCAGGGCAUGGCAGGUGAUCGAGUCUGUGAGGGACACUUUGUCCAGAACAGCUAAAUGUCCUCCUUUUCAUUCUAGCCCCACCCACCUGCCAGAGAGUAAGAGGGCCGGGUGCUGGGCAAUAAGAAGUCUGGGUGGGCACUCACACACUUUCUGAU
rnacentral:lncRNA from 1 species